rnacentral:rRNA from 1 species
GACGAACGCUGGCGGCGUGCUUAACACAUGCAAGUCGAACGGUAAGGCCCUUCGGGGUACACGAGUGGCGAACGGGUGAGUAACACGUGGGUGAUCUGCCCUGCACUUCGGGAUAAGCCUGGGAAACUGGGUCUAAUACCGGAUAGGACCCUGGGAUGCAUGUCCUGGGGUGGAAAGCUUUUGCGGUGUGGGGUGGGCCCGCGGCCUAUCAGCUUGUUGGUGGGGUGAUGGCCUACCAAGGCGACGACGGGUAGCCGGCCUGAGAGGGGGACCGGCCACACUGGGACGGAGAUACGGCCCAGACUCCUGCGGGAGGCAGCAGUGGGGAAUAUUGCACGAUGGGCGCAAGCGUGAUGCAGAGACGCCGCGUGAGGGAUGACGGCCGUCGGGUUGUAAACCUCUUUCGGCGCCGACGAAGCGCAAGUGACGGUAGGUGCAGAAGAAGGACCGGCCAACUACGUGCCAGCCGCCGCGGUAA